ensembl:lncRNA
CCCUGCCAUUGCUGUGGGCUUUGGGUCGGGUGGACUGGCAGGGGUCUGUCUCUGAGCGACGGAGAGAGAACAAAACUGGUCAAGAAUUCAGCUGCAGGAAAAUCCAUAUGGAAGAUUUCCUCUCUCUUUGUUGGUCUGAAGCAACAGAAGUAUUAUCUGCGUUCGAAAGGAGCUGAAGACUGGUGCCAGAGCAGUCACAUCUGAAAGCCUCUCUCAUCUAAGAUUCAAGAAAAUGGCUUCUUGUCUAACAGUAAACGACAUUAUUAAUUUAUAUGGCAUUUCUGUGCCAACAAAAAGUCUGAAGAAGUGCCAUUUUGCCUUGACGCUGACACAAAGCAGCCCUGACGGGUCCUCCUUACCCUUCCCAAUGGUCGGAGGAGCAGGCAGGCGGCGCUUUGCUGCUCUGCCUUUGGGAAGCUCAGGGUGGUGGAGCCGCUCCCGGCGCCUCCCAGCACAGCACAGCGUUCCCUCCUGGCUCCUGAACGGCCCCAGGUGCAGAGCUGGCCCUGAUAGGGCUCUGAUGGAGCUCUGACACGUGGCCGUGGGAUCCGGGCUCCCGUGUGGCCAAAGCUGCCUUCCCACGGCUGCGGUGUGUGCAGUGCAGAUGGGAGGAGGCAAAAAAGCAUUCCCUGGAAGUGGGCACACCAACCUGUUCCCUAUGGACACAGGGCUGAGCAUCGCCACGUGCUGGGGCUGCUCGCAGUGGUGCCACGCAGCCCUCUCACCCGCUCUAUAGGCUUUGCUGUGUGCUUCCCCCCCCCUUCCUG